AUUGAACGCUGGCGGCAGGCCUAACACAUGCAAGUCGAACGGUAACAGGAAGAAGCUUGCUUCUUUGCUGACGAGUGGCGGACGGGUGAGUAAUGUCUGGGAAACUGCCUGAUGGAGGGGGAUAACUACUGGAAACGGUAGCUAAUACCGCAUAAUGUCGCAAGACCAAAGAGGGGGACCUUCGGGCCUCUUGCCAUCGGAUGUGCCCAGAUGGGAUUAGCUAGUAGGUGGGGUAACGGCUCACCUAGGCGACGAUCCCUAGCUGGUCUGAGAGGAUGACCAGCCACACUGGAACUGAGACACGGUCCAGACUCCUACGGGAGGCAGCAGUGGGGAAUAUUGCACAAUGGGCGCAAGCCUGAUGCAGCUAUGCCGCGUGUAUGAAGAAAGCCUUCGGGUUGUAAAGUACUUUCAGCGGGGAGGAAGGGAGUAAAGUUAAUACCUUGGCUCAUUGACGUUACCCGCAGAAGAAGCACCGGCUAACUCCGUG
rnacentral:rRNA from 1 species